rnacentral:lncRNA from 1 species
GCUGCUGUGAGACCUCUCGCGAUAAGGAUCAGCCCAAACCGGAGCGAGUGGAAUGAGGCUGUAUUCCUGCAGCCUCGGUGCUGCUAGGAGUAAGAAGCAACGCAAAGGAUGCUGCUGGAACAGAAGUUUUCUCCUAUUCUCAGGCUGAGUAACGGCUGUAGCAGAGCCUCUCGUCAGCCCAAACCGGGGCAAAUGAGGAACUCAUGGAUGAACUCAAAGGGAAGAAGGAAGAGGUGGCGUGAGGAAGGCUAAGGCCCUCUCAUCACCUUUAGGAGGGAGAUCAAGGCUAACAGGAAAAAGGUUAGAGAAUGUGUGGGCCUCUGCCUUACAAGGUGGAGGCCCCAGUAAUGGAGGAUGCAUUUCUGCUUUCAGUUGCUGCUGCUGAGACUGCUCCUUGGGAACCCUGGAGGAAAGAUGACUUCAUGAUUGUGGAAGAGCUGAUCAAAGGAGGGGUGCAUGAAGACUGGAGAAUAGCUGAUGUCACUGCAGGCUUCAGAAAGGGUGAGAAGGCUGGCAUCACCUCUGUUCCUGGAAAGAUGUUGUAUCAACUUGUUCCAGAUAUUAUCUCUAGGUGA